UAUUCCAUUCAAGAAACUCCAUAAUCCAAAGGGACAUGAACGUUAGACCUUUUCUGUCAUUAUCCAUGAGACUUGGAAAUUAAUUCCUUGUGAAGGAUCAAACAACAUUCUGUCUUUGGCUUAAAACCAAAAACAGAAACCAUUUCGUCCAAACAUUUCAAGAAAUCAUAGCCAAAUUUCGUUUGAAAAUUUCAAAGAAGCAAGCACAAUUUCGUUCAAGGAUUCAGAAAGCAGGAAUCCAAUUUCUUUUGAGUUCUGAGUUCAAUCAACGAAGGUUCUCCAAUGGAAUAUUAUACAGAGUUUUUCCUACUCCAGGUAUGUUAAGGACAUCCCUUCUUUCUUUUGGCAUGGUCCAAAUUAUACUGAAGAAACGAACAAACACACAGUUUCCAUAAAUUACUCUACCCAUAGAGAUACUAGGGGUGUCUAUAUUCUUGAUUCCCCAUGUGAAUUAUUAUUAUCUUUUGUUCAUGGAUCUCAAAAUAAUACGCAGUUGAAAAAGUUUAUCUGGCAGAAAUAUUGAGAUUUUACGUACUUUUCAUGCAUUUUACCCAUUUAUACAUGUGCAUUGACCCAUGACCAAAUGACGUUAUAUACUCGUAUAUAUGUAUAUUAUAUUUAUAUGGGAUAUGGAAAAAGGUUACGACGUUAUAUACGAACACCACCUGAUCAGCUGGUAUAUGUUGAUGAUGUUGCCCAUAGUGGCCGAGACGAUAUGAUGGGAUGCCCUCAGUGGCUUGAUCAGAUUAUGUACACCUAUACCUAUGCAUGGCACGACAUUUAUAUGCACGUGCAUGACAUUACAAAUGUUUUAGAAUUUACAAAGUUGUUCAGAUUUAAAGACGUGUUUCUAUAUUCCAUGCUUCAUCUAUGUAUUUUACGCACUAAUUUUCAUACCUUACAUACUCAGUACAUUUUUCGUACUAACGCCCCAUUUCACGGGGCCUGUGUUUGAUGCCCGUAAGUACAGGUAGGCAAGCUGACGGUCCCCCUUCUUAGGAUCCCUGAUCAGCGAGAGUUAGCGUGCUCCACUUGAUCCAGAGCUGCUUUUGUUUUUGUACGAUAUGUUUAUAUAUAUAUAUAUAUAUGGGUAUGACGUGGCUCAGUCCCGUCUUUGUACAGUUAUGUUUCUUCUAGAGGUUUGUAGACAGUAUAUCUAGUUGGGUUGUAUGUGGCCUUGUCGGCUUUCAGUUUUGGAUGUAUAGUUAUCAAUAGCAGCCUUGCCGGCUCGCCUACUAUAUUCUCC
rnacentral:lncRNA from 1 species